UAAACCCAGGUGUGCCAGCUAGUUUUAUGUCAGUUAGACACAAAGUAUUGUUAUGGAAGUUUUGGUUUCUUUAAAAACCUCAGUUAUGUUAUGUAAAUACCUUUUUGUUUUAACCCCAAGUGUGGGAUUUCAAUUGGGCUAUAGUUUGUCUAUAGCUGUCAAUUGUCUGGUGCGGGGCGUGGCUUUUGUCAGCUGGUUACGGCUUACCUUGGAGAGGGGCGUGGUCUAGGACUCUGGAGGAGGAUAUAAAUUUGAGAGCCCGGAAGGAGAAGGUGUGGCUUGAGGUGUUAGCUGGUGGUGAGUAGCAGUUUGGAGAGGCCAGAAAGACCAACCGUCUGGCGAUUUGGAGCAGACAGACAGAAACUCUUCGGGCAUGCAGCGGCUUGGAGGGGACUGCUGGCUGCAUUUGCUGUUGAUGGAGACUGGUAUAUCGCCCAAAGACCCAUUGACCCUAAACAUCCAGGAGAACUGAAGAGGUUCCUGCCCUCUUUGAGUUCCUUUGCUGGCUUCCUUCAGUGAUGGACUUCAGUGUGGGUCACCACCACACCAGGGAGCCUAUCUGGCGGCCAGGAUGAGCCUGAGGAGCUCCAAGGGACAGAUUUGGAGACCUAUUGCACUGGCCUCAGCAGGAGUUGUCACCCUCAGCAUCUAGUGGCCCUGAAAAGCAGCAGCAAAGAACCCAUGUAUCAGCAGGUGGCAAUGCUAGUGUUGUAACGUGCUUCACAUCAAUGACAGGUCCAGGCCUGCAGUAGCUGAAAUCCUGGGUUUAUAGAGUUGGCUGCUCCCUAGAACUUUCCCAGAAACUAUGGUCCAUGCUUUCAGUUCCUCCCAGCCCUUAUCUCCAUCACUGCUGCUCCCUGUUAUCUCUGCCCUGGCUGCUCCCUGAAAUGCCAGCUGCCCUCUCAUUGCUUCUGCCGCUGCUGCUGUGGCUGCCGCUGCAGAUUCCACUGUCUUCUCUGAGUCACCGGCUCAACCCACUCUACUAAUGAUAAGGAUCAGAAAUAGGCAAGUAGACCAUUCCCGAAAAGCUUUUCAAGGAGCUAAUGAUGCAGCAGCAGGAAAUAGUACAACGCUCCUAGCUGGCUCAAAAGUGAGCCAAAUAGCUUGCUUGUUAUGUUUUGUUUGUUUUUCAUGGGCUUUCCUGUUGGGACAGGAAGAGAAGCACUCUGCUGUAUCUGGGUAAAAAUGGCAGUUGGUCAUCUGGAACGGGGCUUUUUUCCUUUGUGACAUUUUCUCUCUCUCACACACACAAACACGUACAGACACCCACCUGACCCCCCCAAAAAAAAUUGUCACUUUUAAUUGUUUUCAAGAAAGGCCUAGCAGGACCCUGUGUAAGUUCCUACCCAGUCACCUCAACCCUGGGUAUAUUCAAUAGAUAAACAAGUAGACCAUGUGCCUGGAUGUGGUGGCACAUGCCUGUAAUUCCAGCACUUUAAAGGCAGAGGUUGGCGGAGUGCUGAGAGUUUCAAGCCAGCCUGGUCUACACAGCAAGUUCCAGGUCAAGUCAGGGCUACAUCAUGAGAACCUGUCUCAAAACAAAAACAAGUCAAACAUCUAUUGCUUACAAAUCACAAAUAAUUUUAUUUUGAAGUGACUUUUGCUACACAUAUAAUUUAACUCUUUCUUAAAGAAAAAGUAAAAUUUGCGUGCUGAGGUGGUGUACUUAUUUAUUUUUAUGUUAAGAACUGCCGACAUGGCUACCUGCUAUCUCCUGUCUGUCUGAACUGCUGGUCCCAGUUUAGUGCAUCCUGUUUGCCUGAGCUGCUGGUCCAAGUGGCUUGUGUGGACCCUGUAUACAGCGUCAUCUGCCUGGUUCCUCUGCAAAGCAGCUUUCAGGGCUGAUUUGUAUUUUAAACACAGAAGGGCCGUGGCUCCCAGCCCCACACACUGCAUUACGUGGCCUGUCCUGGUUCCAUUAGCUAAUUAUGCCUCUUAUCAUCCUUCAUUUGUAGAAAUAGAAUUUGGCUGGAUUCUCUAAGCUCUCCCAAGUCACAGUGACUCUCUUGUCCCUUGUUUGUCUUCAUGGUUGACAGCAGAUCCUCCCCUCUUGGCCCUCCCCCCAUCUUCUUGGCCCCACCCUGGUCUGGUCCUGCCUGAGAAGGACAUGAUUGCCCUUGAUUUGUGCGUUGUUGUUCUUACCUUCAUGUAUAAAGCAAGAACAAACAAACAAACAAAAAAAAACCCCACAAAAAACAAAAAACAAACAAACAAAAACCAAAACUAAAACAACAACAAAAAACCACCUAAGAUGAAAACUGAAGGGAGGAAGAAUUUCUUUUGGCUCAUGGUUUCAGAAGGUACACUCCAUCACGAUGGGGAGGAUAUGGCAGAGUAGCUUACAUCGUGGUAAAAAAGAAUGUCUGCAGCUAUGAGAUUUCAAUCCCUUCUUUCUCUUUUAUCCUGUUCAUACCACUAGCCUACAAAGAUAGGAUAUCCAAGGUAUAGCUCCAUUCAUACAGUCUAGAAACAUUCUUAUGGACAUUCCCAGAAAUGUGCCUUGCCAGUUUCCUAGGUGAUUCCAAACCUGCUUGAGCUAACAGAGAAGAUUAACUAUCCACCUGACUUGUAGUAGAGCUCAGCUCCAGCCCUGAGAUGAAGGACUAGAGGCAAAUUAGCACCUAGGAUCCUCGGGUGACCAUUGGCACCUUUGGGCUUUUUCAGCAUGAUUCAAGAUGAGACUGAAGGUUCCUAGUCUAGGCUCCUGGCUUUCAUGAGCCAUUGAUCUGAUGUUGGUUUCGUUGGGAUCAAUAGGUAGGGACCUUGAAGCACCCCCUAUCCCUGUGAUAUCUGGUCACCUUUCUCAGGGUGAGCCACGGAAUUCUAGGGCCACUCAUCAGGUGAUGUCUAUUGAGUAGCAUCAGAGGAUACUCUUAUUGGCCUAGGUCUCCAUUCCAGUCUCUUUCUGGCUGGACGGACUUGGGUGGGUCUUGAUAAAAUACGGGAAGGCAGUCUGUGCCCUGGUAAGUGCCUUUUGAAGAGCUGGCUCCUCUGAGCUGCACUCCCUCCUUGUACCAGGAAGAACCUGUCAGGAAACAGUAGCUGGCUAAAGGUAUCUGUGAGCCCACUUCUUAGACCUGGCCUUCCUGCAGUUGGGCUCACUGUCCUUGCUGGCCUGGAGUAUUUGUAAUCUCACCCUCUGAGCUAUGUCCUUCCUGGAGAGCCUGUCCUGGCAUCCUUACCUCACAUUUGCAGCUCUGGGCUUACAGAGCAUGACAGAAUCCGUGUCCCACCGCUUCCUGUGGUAUAACUCUCUUCCUAAAAAACCAGGGAGGCAAAUGGCAGCUGGGAGAAGACGGCUCUAUCUUGUGGCUCAGAGAGGGUUAGUGAAAGGACAAACUCAGCAGACCAAUGAAAGAAAAUUCCGGAUGGCAGAAAUGCAGCAGACAGGACCCACACCGAGUUAACACAGGCCUGUGUGGCCAGGAUAUUUAUCCCCAGAAGGACAGUGCUGGCCCUGUGCUUACAACUCCAGUGGCAGUAAAUCUGCCACCAUGUGACAAGAUGCUGUUCUGGGGUUGCUUCUCAGGGGCCUCAAGGGUCAGCCUAGAAGCAAACCUCUUUCUGGGCCUCUUCCUCCAGCAGCUGUCUCUAUGUUCAAAGUCUCUCCAAAGGGUGAAGAACAGGGACAAGUCAACUAGGCUUUGCUCACGUGGUCACCUGGUCUUACCUGUGUCUCCCCAGGACUAUGGAUUAAUUUGCAUCUUUUUUUUUUCUUCUCUGAGAAGAAAGGGGUUCUCGGGGAUUCCUAGUGUGGUAUAUCACUCUUCCUGAGCUCUUUUCUUUGAAUGGGAGUGGGAGAUAUUUAUUAAAGAUGUGAACUUUGAGCAGCUGCCAAGCUACAUGGAUCUUGGAAGUUAGGGGCAAGGGUGCAAAUCCAGAUCCCUGAGACUUGCCUCUGAAUGAGAUACUACCCCUCACCUAGGUCCCAAGUGAUCUCUAAGUGUUUGGACAUGACGUCAAACGAGCAGUGGCAGCCUCCAGGAGGCACAUCUGAGUAUCAGCCCUUCCGGGUCGAUCCUUUGACCCGAGGCAGGCCCAUGGCUAAUUCCAUCUCUUGUGAGACUGCUUUUCCCCUCCUGUGGCUGGCUGGCUGUUUCCGCUGGACCCCGUGUUUGCUUUUCCCUCCACCCCACCCCUGCAUCUCACGUGUCCCGCGAACGCCUGCCCGAGUCCACCCUCACCGUGAUGCUGGAGUGGCGUCUUAAACCCACUGCUUCAGACACGAUCAUGUCUACCCACGACUGCAGCUGCGGAGGAAGGAGAGCAGAGCGGCUUACAUUCCCGCGCGGAUCCCAGGAGGACACCGUGCCUGCUUCUGGCCUCUGGCCCAGCUGAGUAGCGUCACCGCUUGGCUCCAGGCCACUCUGCGGACUCUCUGGGCCUCUGCCGCCUCCUUCUCAAGGGCAACCACGGGAGCCGUUUCGGAGGUGGCAUGACCUUGAGGGUGGAUGAAGGCCCCUGCACACAGUGAAGUUCUGUCCUAAGGUGUGAGGAUUGAGUGGAGGGAGGAGGGGAAGUGAGCAGAGGGUGAGGAUGCUUGAGGAGGUUUCACUUCUCUUCCAGAACCUUCUUCGGAGAUCGUCCUGGGACUAAUUUGCAAAAACACAAACACCAGUAACUGUCAACAGUGGGAGAUUGGGCCUUAUUAAUUUUUUUGUCCAGCUCCUCCCGUGAGCCUGGGCUCAUUCAGUCUUUCACCCACUCAUUCAUUUAUUCACUCAUUCAUUCACUUACUCGUUCAAAUACUCAUUCACUUAUUCAAUCAUUCAUUCACUCCAUUUUUUCCCCAUUCCUUCAUCAUGCACCCUUGGGGUUACUCUGUGUAGAGGUAAACACAUCUGACAUAUGAAUGACCCAAGCACUAAUGCAGUAGUCGAAGAUGGGCCCUAUCUGGUUGUUGUCCAAUGUUGCGGUGGGGAGGGGGUGUGCCCUGACUCUGCUCCAUCUUGCCGAUCCUUUCCAUGUCCCCUGGGGAAGGUGGGCAGAGCCGAGGGGGUGCAGCUGCUUUAAGGGAUAUUAAAAGUUCACAAGGGCACUUUUCCUUAUAAGGUCUGCCAUGUUUUGGUACGUGUUUUAGUUUCGUAAUAAAUAGACUGAUGCUCAAAUACUGCAUUGCUUCUCCCCUGAAGAUUGACUUUGUGUAAUUAUUUCUGCCGCCAAUCUGAGUUGACACAGUAAUUGGGAAGCCAGCUGGAUACCGUUCAUAAGGCAAGUUAAUUAAUCAAAUUUGAAACUAUUUUUCCUUCCUUCUUUUUUUAAAAAUGGGGUUAAAACUAAUUAAUAUGUGUGGGUGAUAAAGUUUGAACACGAUCAAGGUGAUAAAAUUGGAGACAAUAUUUCUCUGUCCUUACACAUGUGGUCUUUCGGAAAAUGAUUUGCAGAACCAAACGGUGUGUGAGAAAAUGCCUGAGCCCACACAAGUAAGUUAAAAACACCGAUGAGAUCACACUAUACAACACAGCUCUGUGUCUUGAUGUUGAAUGAAUAAUAAAUAAGCAUUCUUCAGUCCGAAUAAAA